UACGUAGGGUGCGAGCGUUGCCCGGAUUUAUUGGGCGUAAAGGGCGCGUAGGCGGCCACGCACGUCCGUUGUGAAAUCGCCCGGCUCAACUGGGCGGGGUCGGCGGAUACGGCGUGGCUGGAGCAAGCUAGGGGGCAAUGGAAUUCCCGGUGUAGUGGUGGAAUGCGUAGAUAUCGGGAGGAACACCAGUGGCGAAGGCGGCAUCCUGGACUGGUCCUGACACUCAUGAGCGAAAGCGUGGGGAGCGAUCCGG
rnacentral:rRNA from 1 species